GAUGAACGCUGGCGGCGUGCCUAAUACAUGCAAGUCGAGCGAACGGACGAGAAGCUUGCUUCUCUGAUGUUAGCGGCGGACGGGUGAGUAACACGUGGAUAACCUACCUAUAAGACUGGGAUAACUUCGGGAAACCGGAGCUAAUACCGGAUGAUAUUUUGAACCGCAUGGUUCAAAGGUGAAAGACGGUCUUGCUGUCACUUAUAGAUGGAUCCGCGCUGCAUUAGCUAGUUGGUAAGGUAACGGCUUACCAAGGCAACGAUGCAUAGCCGACCUGAGAGGGUGAUCGGCCACACUGGAACUGAGACACGGUCCAGACUCCUACGGGAGGCAGCAGUAGGGAAUCUUCCGCAAUGGGCGAAAGCCUGACGGAGCAACGCCGCGUGAGUGAUGAAGGCCUUCGGAUCGUAAAACUCUGUUAUUAGGGAAGAACAUAUGUGUAAGUAACUGUGCACAUCUUGACGGUACCUAAUCAGAAAGCCACGGCUAACUACGUG
rnacentral:rRNA from 1 species